rnacentral:rRNA from 1 species
UGUGAGCUCGAUGAGUAGGGCGGGACACGUGGUAUCCUGUCUGAAUAUGGGGGGACCAUCCUCCAAGGCUAAAUACUCCUGACUGACCGAUAGUGAACCAGUACCGUGAGGGAAAGGCGAAAAGAACCCCGGCGAGGGGAGUGAAAAAGAACCUGAAACCGUGUACGUACAAGCAGUGGGAGCACGCUUAGGCGUGUGACUGCGUACCUUUUGUAUAAUGGGUCAGCGACUUAUAUUCUGUAGCAAGGUUAACCGAAUAGGGGAGCCGAAGGGAAACCGAGUCUUAACUGGGCGUUAAGUUGCAGGGUAUAGACCCGAAACCCGGUGAUCUAGCCAUGGGCAGGUUGAAGGUUGGGUAACACUAACUGGAGGACCGAACCGACUAAUGUUGAAAAAUUAGCGGAUGACUUGUGGCUGGGGGUGAAAGGCCAAUCAAACCGGGAGAUAGCUGGUUCUCCCCGAAAGCUAUUUAGGUAGCGCCUCGUGAAUUCAUCUCCGGGGGUAGAGCACUGUUUCGGCAAGGGGGUCAUCCCGACUUACCAACCCGAUGCAAACUGCGAAUACCGGAGAAUGUUAUCACGGGAGACACACGGCGGGUGCUAACGUCCGUCGUGAAGAGGGAAACAACCCAGACCGCCAGCUAAGGUCCCAAAGUCAUGGUUAAGUGGGAAACGAUGUGGGAAGGCCCAGACAGCCAGGAUGUUGGCUUAGAAGCAGCCAUCAUUUAAAGAAAGCGUAAUAGCUCACUGGUCGAGUCGGCCUGCGCGGAAGAUGUAACGGGGCUAAACCAUGCACCGAAGCUGCGGCAGCGACGCUUAUGCGUUGUUGGGUAGGGGAGCGUUCUGUAAGCCUGCGAAGGUGUGCUGUGAGGCAUGCUGGAGGUAUCAGAAGUGCGAAUGCUGACAUAAGUAACGAUAAAGCGGGUGAAAAGCCCGCUCGCCGGAAGACCAAGGGUUCCUGUCCAACGUUAAUCGGGGCAGGGUGAGUCGACCCCUAAGGCGAGGCCGAAAGGCGUAGUCGAUGGGAAACAGGUUAAUAUUCCUGUACUUGGUGUUACUGCGAAGGGGGGACGGAGAAGGCUAUGUUGGCCGGGCGACGGUUGUCCCGGUUUAAGCGUGUAGGCUGGUUUUCCAGGCAAAUCCGGAAAAUCAAGGCUGAGGCGUGAUGACGAGGCACUACGGUGCUGAAGCAACAAAUGCCCUGCUUCCAGGAAAAGCCUCUAAGCAUCAGGUAACAUCAAAUCGUACCCCAAACCGACACAGGUGGUCAGGUAGAGAAUACCAAGGCGCUUGAGAGAACUCGGGUGAAGGAACUAGGCAAAAUGGUGCCGUAACUUCGGGAGAAGGCACGCUGAUAUGUAGGUGAAGUCCCUCGCGGAUGGAGCUGAAAUCAGUCGAAGAUACCAGCUGGCUGCAACUGUUUAUUAAAAACACAGCACUGUGCAAACACGAAAGUGGACGUAUACGGUGUGACGCCUGCCCGGUGCCGGAAGGUUAAUUGAUGGGGUUAGCGCAAGCGAAGCUCUUGAUCGAAGCCCCGGUAAACGGCGGCCGUAACUAUAACGGUCCUAAGGUAGCGAAAUUCCUUGUCGGGUAAGUUCCGACCUGCACGAAUGGCGUAAUGAUGGCCAGGCUGUCUCCACCCGAGACUCAGUGAAAUUGAACUCGCUGUGAAGAUGCAGUGUACCCGCGGCAAGACGGAAAGACCCCGUGAACCUUUACUAUAGCUUGACACUGAACAUUGAGCCUUGAUGUGUAGGAUAGGUGGGAGGCUUUGAAGUGUGGACGCCAGUCUGCAUGGAGCCGACCUUGAAAUACCACCCUUUAAUGUUUGAUGUUCUAACGUUGACCCGUAAUCCGGGUUGCGGACAGUGUCUGGUGGGUAGUUUGACUGGGGCGGUCUCCUCCUAAAGAGUAACGGAGGAGCACGAAGGUUGGCUAAUCCUGGUCGGACAUCAGGAGGUUAGUGCAAUGGCAUAAGCCAGCUUGACUGCGAGCGUGACGGCGCGAGCAGGUGCGAAAGCAGGUCAUAGUGAUCCGGUGGUUCUGAAUGGAAGGGCCAUCGCUCAACGGAUAAAAGGUACUCCGGGGAUAACAGGCUGAUACCGCCCAAGAGUUCAUAUCGACGGCGGUGUUUGGCACCUCGAUGUCGGCUCAUCACAUCCUGGGGCUGAAGUAGGUCCCAAGGGUAUGGCUGUUCGCCAUUUAAAGUGGUACGCGAGCUGGGUUUAGAACGUCGUGAGACAGUUCGGUCCCUAUCUGCCGUGGGCGCUGGAGAACUGAGGGGGGCUGCUCCUAGUACGAGAGGACCGGAGUGGACGCAUCACUGGUGUUCGGGUUGUCAUGCCAAUGGCACUGCCCGGUAGCUAAAUGCGGAAGAGAUAAGUGCUGAAAGCAUCUAAGCACGAAACUUGCCCCGAGAUGAGUUCUCCCUGACUCCUUGAGAGUCCUGAAGGAACGUUGAAGACGACGACGUUGAUAGGCCGGGUGUGUAAGCGCAGCGAUGCGUUGAGCUAACCGGUACUAAUGAACCGUGAGGCUUAACCUUACAACGCCGAAG